GAUGAACGCUAGCGGCAGGCUUAACACAUGCAAGUCGAGGGGUAGAGUUAGCUUGCUAACUUGAGACCGGCGCACGGGUGCGUAACGCGUAUGCAAUCUACCUUUUACAGAGGGAUAGCCCAGAGAAAUUUGGAUUAAUACCUCAUAGUAUCUUUGCCUGGCAUCAGGUGAUUAUUAGAGCUCCAACGGUAAAAGAUGAGCAUGCGUCCUAUUAGCUAGAUGGUAAGGUAACGGCUUACCAUGGCAACGAUAGGUAGGGGUCCUGAGAGGGAGAUCCCCCACACUGGUACUGAGACACGGACCAGACUCCUACGGGAGGCAGCAGUGAGGAAUAUUGGACAAUGGGCGCAAGCCUGAUCCAGCCAUGCCGCGUGCAGGAAGAAGCAUCUAUGGUGUGUAAACUGCUUUUGUACGGGAAGAAACACUCCCUCGUGAGGGAGCUUGACGGUACCGUAAGAAUAAGGAUCGGCUAACUCCGUGCCAGCAGCCGCCGUAACAC
rnacentral:rRNA from 1 species